rnacentral:rRNA from 3 species
CUUUGUGAUUCAUGACUGGGGUGAAGUCGUAACAAGGUAACCGUAGGGGAACCUGCGGUUGGAUCACCUCCUUACCAAGAAGAU